ACUCCUACGGGAGGCAGCUUGGUCUUGAGCUUGCCUUUCUCGAUCUCCACCUCCGCCGGCUUCGCGCCGAUGUAGGUACAGAGUUCCAUCGGCUCGCGCAGCGGGUCGAUAGAAGGGUUCGUGACCUGGCUGGCGUUUAUCAGCAUCCUGUCCCAGUAGACAGGCGACUGCUUGUCGUUGCCCGAUCCGGUCAGCACUACCCCGCCCGUCUCGGCCUGCCGGUUGAUAUCCUUGACGUGCUCACCGGAUCAGCUCCCGUGCGCGCGGUACUGCGCCGGAUUUGGCUUUAUGACCAGCGCGUCGGUCGGGCACAGCACGCUGCACCGCAUACAGCCGACGCAGUUCUCCGGCCGGUGCUUGAUGAUGCCCUCUUCCUCGUCGUAAUAGUGGACAUCGAAUGCGCACUGCGUAUGCACACCUCGCACUUGAUGCAGCGGUCGUAGUCCCUAUCCACCGCGAACUCGGCAAGCCGGUUGGACCUGAUGCGGAAAUCGCUGGCCCUUCGCUGCGUGGGAACCGCUCUGGCAAGWUGGUCGUUGUCUUUCACAGGGCUGCCUCCCGUAGGAGU
rnacentral:rRNA from 1 species